AGCGAACGCUGGCGGCAGGCCUAAUACAUGCAAGUCGAGCGCACCUUCGGGUGAGCGGCGGACGGGUGAGUAACGCGUGGGAAUGUGCCCUUUGGUACGGAACAACUGAGGGAAACUUCAGCUAAUACCGUAUGUGCCCUUCGGGGGAAAGGAUUUAUCGCCAUUGGAGCAGCCCGCGUUGGAUUAGGUAGUUGGUGAGGUAAAGGCUCACCAAGCCUUCGAUCCAUAGCUGGCUGAGAGGAUGAUCAGCCACACUGGGACUGAGACACGGCCCAGACUCCUACGGGAGGCAGCAGUAGGGAAUCUUGCGCAAUGGGCGAAAGCCUGACGCAGCCAUGCCGCGUGAAGGAUGAAGGUCCUCUGGAUUGUAAACUUCUUUUAUAUGGGACGAAACCCGGGAAUUCUUUCCCGAUUGACGGUACCAUAGGAAUAAGCACCGGCUAACUCCGUGCCAGCAGCCGCCGCCGUAAC
rnacentral:rRNA from 1 species